rnacentral:rRNA from 1 species
GACACGACUCUCGGCAAUGGAUAUCUCGGCUCUCGCAUCGAUGAAGAGCGCAGCGAAAUGCGAUACUUGGGGUGAAU